AGGACGAACGCUGGCGGCGUGCCUAAUACAUGCAAGUCGAACGCUCCUACCGGUGCUUGCACCGGGAAAGAAGAGUGGCGGACGGGUGAGUAACACGUGGGUAACCUACCUACAAGCGGGGGAUAACAUUCGGAAACGGAUACUAAUACCGCAUAGAUCUUUUUGUCUCCUGGCAGAAGGAAGAAAGACGGUUUCGGCUGUCACUUGUAGAUGGACCCGCGGCGCAUUAGUUAGUUGGUGAGGUAAUGGCUCACCAAGACGAUGAUGCGUAGCCGACCUGAGAGGGUGAUCGGCCACACUGGGACUGAGACACGGCCCAGACUCCUACGGGAGGCAGCAGUAGGGAAUCUUCCGCAAUGGACGAAAGUCUGACGGAGCAACGCCGCGUGAGUGAAGAAGGUUUUUUCCGGAUCGUAAAACUCUGUUGUUAGAGAAGAACAAGGAUGAGAGUAACUGCUCGUCCCUUGACGGUAUCUAACCAGAAAGCCAUGGCUAACUACGUGCCAGCAGCAGC
rnacentral:rRNA from 1 species